GCCCGCCUAGCUCAAUCGGAUAGAGCGUCAGACUUUUACGGACUGUAUUAUCAGGAUACAUCUGAAGGCUGCGAGUUCGACCCUCGCGGUGGGCU